rnacentral:rRNA from 1 species
GAUGAACGCUGGCGGCGUGCCUAAUACAUGCAAGUCGAGCGAACAGACGAGGAGCUUGCUCCUCUGACGUUAGCGGCGGACGGGUGAGUAACACGUGGAUAACCUACCUAUAAGACUGGGAUAACUUCGGGAAACCGGAGCUAAUACCGGAUAAUAUAUUGAACCGCAUUGUUCAAUAGUGAAAGACGGUUUUGCUGUCACUUAUAGAUGGAUCCGCGCCGCAUUAGCUAGUUGGUAAGGUAACGGCUUACCAAGGCAACGAUGCGUAGCCGACCUGAGAGGGUGAUCGGCCACACUGGAACUGAGACACGGUCCAGACUCCUACGGGAGGCAGCAGUAGGGAAUCUUCCGCAAUGGGCGAAAGCUUGACGGAGCAACGCCGCGUGAGUGAUGAAGGUCUUCGGAUCGUAAAACUCUGUUAUUAGGGAAGAACAAAUGUGUAAGUAACUAUGCACGUCUUGACGGUACCUAAUCAGAAAGCCACGGCUAACUACGUG